rnacentral:rRNA from 1 species
AUUGAACGCUGGCGGCAGGCUUAACACAUGCAAGUCGAACGAGUGGAGGGCGGGUGAGUAAUGCUGGGGAAUCUCCCUUAUGGAGGGGGAUAACUACGGGAAACUGUAGCAAAUACCACGUACCAUAGGAUGAGCCCCAGGGGGAUUAGGUAGUUGGUGAGGUAAAGGCUCACUAAGCCGACGAUCUCUGGCUGGUCUGAGAGGAUGACCAGCCACACGGGGACUGGGACACGGCCCAGACUCCUACGGGAGGAAGCAGUGGGGAAUAUUGCACAAUGGGGGAAAGCUGACGCAGCCAUGCCGCGUGAAUGAAGAAGGCCUUAGGGUUGUAAAGUUCUUUCGGUAGGGAGGCGUUAACUACAGAAGAAGCACCGGCUAACUCCGUGCCAGCAGCCGCGGUAAUAC